rnacentral:rRNA from 1 species
UAUUGCGCAAUGGAGGAAACUCUGACGCAGUGACGCCGCGUAUAGGAAGAAGGUUUUCGGAUUGUAAACUAUUGUCGUGAGGGAAGAANNUGAUAGUACCUCAGGGGGAAGCUCCGGCUAACUAUGUGCCAGUAGCCGCGGUCAUACAUAGGGAGCAAGCGUUAUCCGGAUUUAUUGGGUGUAAAGGGUGCGUAGACGGGAAAUUAAGUUAGUUGUGGAAUCCCUCGGCUUAACUGAGGAACUGCAACUAAAACUGAUUUUCUUGAGUACUGGAGAGGAAAGUGGAAUUCCUAGUGUAGCGGUGAAAUGCGUAGAUAUUAGGAGGAACACCAGUGGCGAAGGCGACUUUCUGGACAGUAACUGACGUUGAGGCACGAAAGUGUGGGGAGCAAAC